rnacentral:rRNA from 1 species
CCCUUAGAUGUUCUGGGCCGCACGCGCGCUACACUGACGAUGGCAACGAGUUUUUCCUUCGCCGAAAGGUGUGGGUAAUCUUUUGAAACAUCGUCGUGCUGGGGAUAGAUCAUUGCAAUUUUUGAUCUUGAACGAGGAAUUCCUAGUAAGCGCGAGUCAUCAGCUCGCGUUGAUUACGUCCCUGCCCUUUGUACACACCGCCCGUCGCUACUACCGAUUGAAUGGUUUAGUGAGGACUCCUGAUUGGCGCCGCCGCCCCGGCAACGAAGCAGCGGACUGCCGAAAAGUUGUUCAAACUUGAUCAUUUAGAGGAAGUAAAAGUCGUAACA